AUUGAACGCUGGCGGCAGGCCUAACACAUGCAAGUCGAGCGGAUGAAGGGUGCUUGCUCCUGGUUCCAGCGGCGGACGGGUGAGUAAUGCCUAGGAAUCUGCCUGGUAGUGGGGGAUAAUGUCCGGAAACGGGCGCUAAUACCGCAUACGUCCUGAGGGUGAAAGUGGGGGAUCUUCGGACCUCACGCUAUCAGAUGAGCCUAGGCCGGAUUAGCUAGUUGGUGGGGUAAAGGCCUACCAAGGCGACGAUCCGUAACUGGUCUGAGAGGAUGAUCAGUCACACUGGAACUGAGACACGGUCCAGACUCCUACGGGAGGCAGCAGUGGGGAAUAUUGGACAAUGGGCGAAAGCCUGAUCCAGCCAUGCCGCGUGUGUGAAGAAGGUCUUCGGAUUGUAAAGCACGUUAAGUUGGGAGGAAGGGCAGUAAGUUGAUACCUUGCUGUUUUGACGUUACCAACAGAAUAAGCACCGGCUAACUUCGUG
rnacentral:rRNA from 1 species